GCGGACGUGGUGGAAUGGUAGACACAAGGGACUUAAAAUCCCUCGCUGGUAAUCGGUGUGCGAGUUCGAGUCUCGCCGUCCGCA
rnacentral:tRNA from 1 species